ensembl:lncRNA
CCCAGAUGGAUGGCACCCUGGCCCAGGCCACUCCCCCUGCCUGAUGAACCCCCCUCCCCGGCUCAGUCCCUUGAACAAGCCCGUGGAAGCCCCCCCCACAGGUCAGGGAUGUGACCUUCCUCCCUGCGGUCUGCCCGGGAUGCUGUUCCAUGAGGCCUUCUGGCUGGGAAGACGAGACACAUGGUCAGCGAGUAAGAGGAUACACAGAAAUUCCACUUUUACUCUGACUGCUGGGCCACAUUUGGAGCGAGGCUUUCACAACAGCUGGAGGAACGCGGUGCCUCCUGUUCCGGGGCCUCCAGGGUCUUGUGGGUUCUACCGCAGUCAGACAUCCUUUUACCAGGAAGAGGGGGUCUGUGUGGACAUGCCAAGGGCCGCCCAGGCCAGGGGUCAGUCUCCAGGAUGCUCGCUGGGGACCCGGCCUGGGAUGCUGACAAAGCUGGGCUUGGAAGUGGCCGCGUGUUGGGCGUGGAAGGCCGCUGCCCACCAGAAAUGAGGACAGAGGGCCGAGGGCUGGCGCCCAGGUCUGCUUGGCUGGGGUCAGCAUGUGGUGGUGAGCUUGGCCUCAGGGACUGGAAACUCUGGCAAACACAGACGUGACUGAAUCUCCUUAGUCAUCCCAUGGUUGCUGCGGUCUCACUGAAGCAGGGACAGCCACCGGGCAGGAGUGCUCCCCAACGAGUGCUCCCCAGCAUGAGUGCUCCCCAGUGAGUGCUCCCCCACUAGCACAGCCCAGCAUUAGUGCUCCCCAGUGAGUGCUCCCCAAUGAGUGCUCCCCCACAAAGUGUGGCCCAGCAUGAGUCCUCCCCCAACUAGUGCUCCCCAGCAUGAGUGCUCCCCCACGACAAGUGCAGCCCAGAAUGAGUGCUCCCCAGUGAGUGCUCCCCAGCAUGAGUGCUCCCGCCCAAUGAGUGCUCCCCGGUACGAAUGCGCCCCCAACAAGCGGGCGACCACCCUGCACAAGAGGGCCUCCUGUCACGGGAUGGAGGGCUUCCUCCAAGCCGGAUUGCUGGGGGUGGAGUAGGAGGGGGUCUGGGAGAGAAUGCCCAGCUCUUGUCCUGGAGCUUAACUCCAGAUUCAAGAAACCCAACCCUGAGAAGGGAAGGGAAAGGAAGGGAAGGGUGCAGGCAGGUGGGGAGGAGGGACUGGAGUCUGGAGAAAGCUGGUGGUUUCCUGCCGAGCCUCUGGUAGGCCAGAGCCCUUGCCCCACCCUUCGGCCUGCAUGGCAGGCUGCCCGUGAUGCCUCUGAGGCCCACUCAAGGACUCAGAGCCCCCUUCUUGAGUGAAGCCCCAGGGGACGGUCACCCCACAGGUGCAGAGAGUGCAGCAGUCACCAGCCACGACGGCCAGGUGAAGCAGAGUGAGCUCUGACCUUGCUCUGACCGUGUCCCAGGAGGCCAGAGGCUCAGAGGCAACUCCCGGGGAGAAUCCAUGUGCUCUUCAGACUCGUAGGAGCAGAUUCCACAGGCAGCGUCUGCAAGAGCCUCAGCCUCUGGGCCGAUCUGGUCCCCAAAGGCCCUGACAUGGCAGCAAAACAAGAGCGAGGGCCAAACCGGAUUUCAUCUGUUAACUGAAAACCUCAGUAACUGCCACAGUGAGAGGAUGGGCUUGCUCAGAAAUACAACUCUUUCUUUCACAUGUAUUUUACUGAUGUAAAAUGUACCUAGCACACAAUUAACUACUUUAAAGUGUAUCAGUUCAGUUCAGUUCAGUCGCUCAGUUGUGUCCGACUCUUUGCGACCCCAUGAAUCGCAGCACACCACGCCUUCUUGUCCAUCACCAACUCCCAGAGUUCACUCAGACUCAUGUCCAUCGAGUCAGUGAUGCCACUCAGCCAUCUUAUCCUCUGUCGUCCCCUUCUCCUCCUGCCCCAAAUCCCUCCCAGCAUCGAAGUCUUUUCCAAUGAGUCAACUCUUCACAUGAGGUGGCCAGAGUAUUGGAGUUUCAGCUUUACCAUCAGUCCUUCCAGUGAACACCCAGGGCUGGUCUCCUCUAGGCUGGACUGGCUGGGCCUCCCGCAGUCCAUAACCCAGUAGCAUUCGGUGCAGUUUCAAUGUCUAUAGCCACUACUUCUCUCCACUUCUCUCUGGUUCUAAAAUUUUUUCAAAAUGUUCACCCCAGAAAAAUACCCCCAAACCAUUAAGUAACCCCUGCGCCUCCCACUUGCCAGCCCCAGGGACCACCAGGCUGCGUCCAUCUCUAAGGUCUUUCCGCCUCUGGACGUUUCAUGUAAAAGGAAGCUUGCGCCUUGUGACAUUCGUGUCUAAGCCCUCUCACUGAGCGCACUGCUCUCGGGUCCACACAGCGGCACUGCUUGCAUGUCCAGUGGAAACUGCUCUCUGAGUUUUGAGUCUGACCUUCUCUGGGCUGGCGAUGGUGGGCUCUUGAUGCUGGGCAGGGGCGGACGCCCCAUUUCCCCGCGGUCACAAGGGCAAAUGGCCUGCGCACUUGCAGUCACCCUGUACAGACGGCCACUCUGAUUUUCACUUUCAGUACGGUGUUCAAUAAAUCAUGUGAACUCUUCAACACUUUGUUAUGAAAUAGACUUUAGUGUCCUGAGCAUGUUUGAGGUGUAUUAAAUGCAUUUUUGACUUAAAUAUUUUCAUUCACGAUAGGUUUACUGGGACACAAUCCCCACUGUAAGUCAAGGAACAGCUGUCUAAAUACACACACACACACACCGCAUUCCUUUAUCCAUCCAUCUAAUGAGAAGCAUUUAAAAGGUUUUCAUGUGUUGGGUGUUUUAAAUAUGUUUCAAUGAACAUGGAGUUUCUUUUGAAAUAGUUUUACUUUUUCAGCGUAGGUGUUUGCAGCUAAUGAAUUUCCCUCUGAGCACUAUCACUGCUGCGCCCCUUAAGCUCAGAUAUAUUGUGUUUCCCUUUCAAUUCUUGUCUAAGUAUUUCCUUUCCAAUACUUUGGCCACCUGAUGCAAAACGCUGACUCCUUGGAAAAGACCCUGAUGCUGGGAAAGGUUGAGGGCAGGAGGAGAAGGGGAAAAAGAGAAUGAGAUGGUUGAAUAGCAUCACUGACUCAGUGGACAUGAGUUUGAGAAACUCCAGGAGAUAAUGAAGGACAGGGAAGCCUGGCGUUCUGCAGUCCACGGGGUUGCCAACGGUCUGACACGACUGAGUGAUUGGGCAACAGGUAUCUUCUCAGAGGGAUUUCCAGUUUCCCUCAUGGCUUCUUCGAUGCAUUGACUGUUCGCGUUACUCACUUCCUAUGUGUUUGCAAAUAUUCCUGUUUCCUCUGUUGUUGAUUUACAGUUUCACUCCAUUGUGACCAGAGAAGGUAGUGUGUGUGAGCUCAAUGUUUCAAAACGUCCUGAGAAUCGUCUUGGGGCCUGACAAGUGUCUCUCCUGCGGACCGUCUCACAUGUGGCCUGUGUCUCCCCUGGGGACCGUCUCACCUGCAGCCUGUGUGUCUCCUGGUUCUCUGAGGGCGCCUGUGGUCUGGUCCAGCUGGUUGAAAGUGUGGUCCUCUGUUUCUUUCUUGGCCCUCUUUCCAGUGUUCCUUCUAUUAUUGAAAGGGAAUAAUACUCUUCAUCUCUUUAACAGAUGUUUGUUCAUCAAACAGUUAUCAAUUCAGUGAAUGAAUUCACAGUCAGUCACAUGUAUGGUCAAUGCAACAUUCAGAGAGCAACUAUUGACUCAUCCACGUAACAAUGCCUGCUGUCCACAAUAUAUUCCGCAGGAAACGCAAAAGCAGACGGCCUGCGGCUCAGGCCAGCCAGUAGAGAUGACCUGUCUGCUGGCAGCCUUAGCACAAGGCACAAGGUCCUAAGGGCUGUGAGAUGCGCAGAUGACCAGCACUGCAAGUUUAAGGAUCUUUCGAACCCAGCAAGGGAUCCCUGUGGUCGGGAGCAGAUUCAGCUGAGAACUGGCCCUGAGCUGACGGCGGACAGUCUACACGGAUGUCAAGGACGGGCCCACACUGGCGACGGAGGGCAGCGGUGCGACUGAAGGGAAGCCCAGGGGACAGGGAGCUUUGCCGAGGCCUGCGGCUCCCCUCUGUCCCCGGGUUAGUCACGCCUCCUGGCGGAGAGGGCAGGAACACACAGAAGCAGCGCGGCAUGGUGACCGCAGGCUCCCCGGCGAGAGCAGCUUCCCCGGAAGCGCUGCCGCUUGCUCGGGGCUUGAGGCGCCAGCGCCGCGGUCAGGCGGGUCCCUGCAGGCGGCGGC